CUGACCGUGCAAAGGUAGCGUAAUCACUUGUCUCUUAAAUAGAGACCUGUAUGAAUGGCAUCACGAGGGCUCAACUGUCUCCUUUCUCAAGUCCAUGAAAUUGAUCUCCCCGUGCAGAAGCGGGGAUGCAAACAUAAGACGAGAAGACCCUAUGGAGCUUUAGACACUAAGGCAUAUUGUGUCAAAUAACCCUAAAACAAAGGACUGAACUGAACAAACCAUGCCCCUCUGUCUUAGGUUGGGGCGACCCCGAGGAAACAAAAAACCCACGAGUGGAAUGGGAGCACUGACCUCCUACAACCAAGAGCUGCAGCUCUAACUAAUAGAAUUUCUAACCAAUAAUGAUCCGGCAAAGCCGAUUAACGAACCAAGUUACCCUAGGGAUAACAGCGCAAUCCCCUUCUAGAGUCCCUAUCGACAAGGGGGUUUACGACCUCGAUGUUGGAUCAGGACAUCCUAAUGGCGCAGCCGCUAUUGAGGGUUCGUUGUUCAACGAUUAAAGUCCUACGUGAUCUGAGUUCAGACCGGAG
rnacentral:rRNA from 1 species